rnacentral:rRNA from 1 species
UAGUCCACGCCGUAAACGAUGGUUACUAGCUGUUCGGACUUCGGUCUGAGUGGCUAAGCGAAAGUGAUAAGUAACCCACCUGGGGAGUACGUUCGCAAGAAUGAAACUCAAAGGAAUUGACGGGGCCCGCACAAGCGGUGGAGCAUGUGGUUUAAUUCGAUGAUACGCGAGGAACCUUACCAGGGCUUAAAUGUAGUCUGACAGCUUUAGAGAUAGAGUUUUCUUCGGACAGAUUACAAGGUGCUGCAUGGUUGUCGUCAGCUCGUGCCGUGAGGUGUCAGGUUAAGUCCUAUAACGAGCGCGACCCCUAUCUUCAGUUGCCAGCAAGUUAUGUUGGGGACUCUGGAGAGACUGCCUACGCAAGUAGUGAGGAAGGCGGGGACGACGUCAAAUCAUCAUGGGCCUUUAUGCCCAGGGGCUACACACGUGCUACAAUGGCAGGUACAGAGGGUCGCGAAACCGCGA